rnacentral:rRNA from 1 species
CCUACGGGAGGCAGCAGUGAGGAAUAUUGGUCAAUGGGCGCGAGCCUGAACCAGCCAAGUAGCGUGAAGGAUGACUGCCCUACGGGUUGUAAACUUCUUUUAUAAAGGAAUAAAGUGAGGCACGUGUGACUUUAUGUAUGUACUUUAUGAAUAAGGAUCGGCUAACUCCGGGCCAGAAGCGGCGGUAAUACGGAGGAUCCGAGCGUUAGCCGGAUUUAUUGGGUUGAAAGGGAGCGUAGAUGGGGUGUUAAGUAAGUUGUGAAAGUUUGCGGCUGAACGUGGGAACUGCCUUUUAAACUGGCAAACUGGAGUGUGUGCGAGGAUAGCGGAAUUCCAGGUGUAGGAGUGAAAUCCGUAGAUAUCUGGAGGAACAUCAGUGGCGAAGGCGACUAUCUGGCACAUAACUGACGCUGAGGAGCGAAAGCGUGGGUAGCAAACAGGAUUAGAUACCCUUGUAGUC